AUCGCUUCUCGGCCUUUUGGCUAAGAUCAAGUGUAAUAAACAAGGGCUCUGGAUUAUCAACUUUGUCUCUCAUUGUGUCAAAAUAGAUCACAUUAUAGUUUAAUCUAUUAGAAAACUGUCAAAGCAUAUUAACCUUUUCAAAAGAAGACAUGCUUUUAUCAUUACGAGAAAAGUUUCA
rnacentral:snRNA from 1 species